ACCUACAUCAUAUCAGUAGUGUUUAAAAACUCAAUAUUUCAUCUGAUCUCGGGAGCUAAGCAGAGCCAGGCCUGGUUAGUACUUGGACGGAAGACCACCUAGGAAGACCAGGUGCUGUAGGCG
rnacentral:rRNA from 1 species